rnacentral:tRNA from 1 species
UGGUAGAGCGCCACCUUGCCAAGGUGGAGGUAGCGAGUUCGAGCCUCGUCUUCCGCUCCA